UUACGGACAUAUCACGUUGAGACACCAGUUACCGUACGUUCACCGAAGUUAAGCAAUGUUAAGCUUGGUCAGUACGUAGAUGGUUGAUCGCUUGUGAAUACCAGGUACCGUAAG